CUAUGCACUUAUUCAUCAAUCUCAUUUACUUGUUUAUUAAUCUCGUGGCUUCUCUGAAAGCUCGCCUACUGCUCACUAGCCAUCUCGAAGGUAGGGAGGGUCAACUCGCACUACGAACCGAGACCGUCUGCCGGGGCCCAAAAUAGGCAAUCCCUUGGGACCCAAAAUAGGCAAUCCCACGUGACCAACUCCGGAGCGCACUACUUGUGUGGGGCUUCCAGCACAAGAUUUAAAAACAGACCGUGAGC
rnacentral:lncRNA from 1 species